CAUUGACUGAUAUGUUCAAUUUAGGCAUAUUUUACAUUUUGGGUGUUUUGGCAGGUGGCAAUAAAGGUAUUGGAGAGGGAUGUGCUAAGGUGUGCUACAUUCAACAGCCUGACAAAUCUAUCGCUUGGUGAAUGGUGCUUGGGCUCUGGCUGCAGUUCGUUACUUCACUUGCUUCAACGAUCGCCUAAAAUACAGAAACUUAUCCUGCAUCUUACACAUGUUGGUGCUUCUCAGUGUGAUCACCCUGAACAACAUGCUGUUGUAGUAGGAGAUCCAACCUGCAGUGAAACACAAAGACCAUUCGGUUGUGAGAAUCUUAAGAAAAUCGAAAUCAACUGCCCACUAGGUGAUAAAAGAAUCCACGUCAUUGUGAGGAUCUUGUAUGAGAACAUUAACUCUCCGACAGAAAUUAAUAUCACGAGCCAUUAGCUAUUUAUAGGGGUCAGCAUGUACGCUGACACUGGAUUUUCAUGGCGGUGGUCAUCAGACUAUGGACUAAAAGUGUUUCUGAUUCCUGCAGGACUUCUGCUCCGUUUGUGGCUUGUUUUGUUUAACUGACAAUUGCCCACAUGUUUGUGCUUGCUGUUAUUCUUUAAUUAACAACUCCCAAAAAUUUAUCUUUGACAUUUACGGAACAUCCCAUAACUGUUAUGGUAAUUGG